GGGCGGGGCCUCGCUGUAUCGCUGUGGAACAUUCUAUGUGCUCGGCAACAAGACGCUUCUGAUUGAAAAAUGCAGUUCAAGCCAAAAUCAUCCAUCGUUUGACAUCUCUAAGAGACAGAAUAACUCGACGACACGUUUGUUCAGUGAUUUUGGGAUGAAGAGCGACUGCAACACUUUAAAGGUCUCUGAAGGCAGGAACAGAUUAGGAAAGCUAUAGUUUCUUUUAUUGAUUCUGACACAGGAAAUCUUCCAUUUUCUGGUAUUAUUUACUGCAUAAACUGCAGUGCAUCUCUGCAUUUAUUGCUUCAUAUUAUUUACAAUUAGGGUUGCAAAUGGGCAGAAACUUUCCAUGGGAUGUUAAGCUGGGGAUUCAGAGUUGGAAACUUGACGGGAAUUUAUGGGAAUUAAAGGUAAUUCAUUGGAAGUUUGGGAGAAAUUAUACAAAUGGUAUCAUAUGAAGAGUUUGGUUCCAAAACGCUAUAAAUCCAUUUUGAUUAAUUUGAGAAAAAAUGUGUUUUCUUUACCAAGAAAGUGGCUAGAUGAAAACCACUAUUUUCUGUUUCAAACUUUCACAUAGCACCUUUUGGUUAUAAUAACAUUAAAAAUUCAAAUCCAGAUAUUGAUUUUCAAACAUUUAUUAUAAAAAAUGAUUAUUUUUUCCCCAAAAUGCAAUAAAUCCAUGACACGUUUUUUUUUCCAAAAUGCAAUUAAAAUGCAUUUAAUCCAUUGAAUCAAUAUAAAAGUUAUUUUUCAUAUUGAAACUGUUGAAAAUACACAACAAAGUAAGUUGAUCCACAUAUAUGACAGCCUCUGAACUUGGUCAAUACUACUAAUUUUAUAAAACUAGCAAUGCCAGAUUCGAGAAUUAAUCAUUCUUGGUCAAACGGCUUUUAAAAACUGUUCAUGAUUCAGUUUUGGGGACCGUGACAGAAAUGUGAUGCUGUCGUGUGAGGACAAGCAACAGUCAGCAUUUUUCCGCCUCCCGAGUGCCUCAUCUUUUUAAUCUCCUCACGUAAAUGAUUAGACUUCGAUGGCUUACGUUUCUUCCCCUACCGCAGAAACCACCACAGUUUCGUCAAUGCCGUCAAAAUUAUUCAUUUUUCUGUUUUUGUUGAUCACAAAGCACAAAGUAGAUAAGGAAAACUAGGAUGCCGGGUGUAUUCAGAGCGCCGCCAUUACUGUUUACAAUGUGUGGAAUGAUGCACUGUGAUUGGUUGAGCGGAUAUAUCGCAUUCUGCAAAGAAGGGAGACUGGCGUUUGUCGUGGUUUGGAAAGAAAGGGAGAAAACAUGACAGAAUAACACGGCGGAUAUCGCAUUUUGAGUAAAAUUAAAAAUUGACUUUUCAAUACUGACCAAAUACAAUACUGAUUUUGGCAAGAACUAAUUUUUUUUUUUUUAAAUGGCGUUUAUAUCGCGUUUUGGAACCAAACUCUUCAUAUACAAACAUAAAUAUAAACAUUUUGUUUGAUCAUAAGCAGACAUGCAUGCAAACUAAUAAAAACGUAUUUUAUUAUGAUUUAUUUGUGAGUAGAACUUUAAUUGAUUCUUUCAUUGAACAACAAAAAAGCAUGAAUGUUGAAUAAAGUAAACAUAUUCCCCAUGAUACCCUUUUCCCCCAAAAAAGUCCCAUUCAAAAUGUAAAAUGAAAGCAGAUUCAGGGGUGUGGCCUCAAUAGCCCUGCAGUAAGUAGUGUGCAUAUGAUUGAGAAUAGAAAUUCAACUGAAUCUGCAUUAAAUCUGGUUGUUUUAACCGAGAUUAUGCUGCAAGAUGGGUUUUUUUAUUUUUCAGCUACAUUUAAGUUCCCUGUUGUAGGCUAACCUGCAAUUUUGCAAAUUUCCAGUUUGUUCCCAUUAAUUCCCAUAUAUUCCAGUAAAGUCCCCUGGAAAGUUUCCAACUUUGAAAAUUCCCAGAAUUUUGCAACCCUAUUUACAAUGAUGCACAUCAAAUUGAUAAAUGUUGAAGAAGUCAUACCAGCCAUCAGCUUAACAGAUGCCCUCAUAACUGUAAUGUUACAUAAUAGCCUGUCCUGAUAUACCCGGACACAAAUAGAUUGAAACACAGCUUGGGUAGAAAUGCACUGUGAAUUGUGACUAGGUUUAAUCUGUGUUCAGAAAAGCAGCCCAACAUAUAGAUGAGUGAAUGUUUAUUUCUGUCUCAAACAACCAGUUGGUUCUAGUUCAUUGUAGAGUCUAUUUUCCAUAAGUCUGUAUCUUCUUGCAUACUUAGUAUGCCUUAAUCAAUACACAGUUGACAUUGUUCUGGUGCCAAGUUGUAAUGCAAUGAGAGGUGGUUCAAAAAGCCAUUAGGGAGACAUAGAAGCUCCUCCCUAGGCGUGAAGCAGAUAUUUGAUUACUUAAAGACAAAUGUUAUUAAAGAUAUGUAUAUGCUUUAUAGUGUAGCGAUUCAUACUGUGUUCAUCUCUCAAUCUAACAUAUAUACUGGAGCACAGAGGAGUAUAUCACUCACUGGUGGCGUGUCAUUAGUCUGCGGACAGCCAUGCACCCUGCCAGCUGACCUGCCUCACUUCCACACUUAGAUUGAGAUGUCAUAAGUAGGAGCAUGCUGGGAACUGUGGUCUGUAUUAAAGUGUGUCAGGCUGCUCUGAGCAUGGAGCAAUUUUAGCCAUGUUCUGUUAUAUGUUACCAUUAUAGUAUGUGUACAAAUAUUUGCUCUUUGAUGGGAUUCUCAGCGAAGCAGUUCUUCUGUGUACGGUUUUCUGUACCAUUAACAAAAGAUUUAUUUAAUACUUUUGUCAGGAUUUAAAAAUGUUUUUGACCUCCUGUUAUUUAAAGACCUUAUUUUAUUUUAUUUUUUAUUAUUAAUAAUCAUUUUAAUAAUUAAUUAUAACAUUAAUACUAAUAAUAAAAUAAGUAUUAUUAUUAUUACAAUUAUUAGUAAUAGUAAAUUAGUUAUACAGCUAAUAUUUUAUGCAAAAUAAUUUAAUUAAAUGUAUAUUUUAAUUUCAAAUGUGAUUAUCAAAGCCUACCCUCCCCUUAUCCUCAUACGUGCAUCACUUCUGUUUUGAAUAUGGUGACAUAAUCCAUGUUGUUCUGCUGUCUGUCUCCAUGGUUACAGAUCUGUAGUCAUAAAACAGGAAGAGGAAGUCUAUGAUGUCUACUGAUGUGCCUACCCAUGAUUCUACCUUUUCUCUUGUUUUCUUUUAAUCAUGUAGUUAUUUAUCACAUCUUAAACAUCUAUUUCUCUAAUCUCUCCAAGCGAUGGAAUGGUGUUACCUUAUUAGACGUCACUUGUGAUGUUCAUAGAUUCAAGAUUCUUUCCGUCCCUACCUAUAUUAUCUGAUUUAGCCGUUCCCCCGACAGCCUGGAUAUUUUAAACAGGCCGAGCAAAUAGGCCGAGAUUAAAAACAUGAGAAACAAAACAGCCCAGUUGUUACAUAACUGAAACAGAGCUCUGCGAUGUGCCUUUAAAAGCUGCAGGCUGUCAGGUGACCACAGGGGCACCGUCAUCUCAGUUCACCGAGACACCAGCACGUCUCUCAGAUACGCAGUUGAGACGCUAAAGAUAUGGGGGUGGGGGGGGCAGAUGGGUAGAGAAACAGUUAUAGGAGGACAGAGGGGAGAGGAGGACACCAGAUAGACAGGAAAAGAGAGAAGCCAACUGUAAUCAAAGUGCCUCUGCCUCUCUUGCUCUCCGUCUCUCACUUUCUCUCCCGUUUAUGUGGAUUUUUUGAGAUGCUGCGUUUGUGUGGUCAUAACACAGAGCGAAAAAGACCCAAGAAUUAAGUGCUGCGUCACAAUGAGCGAGAGAGACAAACUGAGGGAGAAGGAGACAGAAGGAUUGUGGGAACGUUUGCGGCAACUAUCUGUCUCGGCGAUCACAAUGAGCGCGUUUGUAUGCGUCUAUUAGCGAUCUAUUUAUGUAGACAUGUGUCUGUCUGAAAAAACAGCAGCGAUUCUGCUGUUGCAACAAGAUGAAAAUAGAGCGAGCAGGAGAGGGUGGAGGUCUGGUGGAGAGAGGGAGGGAGGGAGGGAGAGAGAGAGAGAGAGAGAUUUUGGAUUAGUUGCUACGUCACUUUUUCACGUCGAGAGGAAAACAGCAGCUAGGAGGAGAGGAUUCGGACAUGUGUGUUUUUCUCCUACCUGUGAGUGUAUCCCAGCCCUUUCGCCUGCUCGUUCGCCUUUCAUCCUCGUCUUCUCCAUCUCUUUUUCUCUCCCACUCUCUCUGAUUUCACAUUUUAGUUCAUUUCUCCACAAUCGCAGCUCCAACAUGGAUGCUGAGAACGUGAUAGAGUUUCUCGAAUUGUGUGCGCAGAGGUUCGGUGUGUCGACGUUUGCUGGGCGUGUGAUGGCGUCGCGAGGUGUGUACGGGGCAAAAAAACGGUUAUCAAUACAAAAAGCGAUAACAAAACAAAUGCUGAUAUCUAAGAGAUACAAGAAUAGUUGUAGAUGUUGACAUAAAUACAGUGGUUUACCUUGUAUUCAAGCCAACGCGUCGGAUACCGCAAGUGUCAGUACCGUAAUCGCAAUACGCAUAUUUUCGGUUGAUACUGAUACCGAUAUACAUUACAUCUUUUCUGGCUCCUCGUAACAGGUAAGUGAAAUAUAACGGGCUAUUCACUGUUAGGCUGACCUGAGAUCAGUCUCUGGCUUUGUAAGACAUUAUGACAGGCAACUUACUUUAUGGUAUUUUAUGCCCCAUAUAUUGGAUAGGAUGAUAGGAGAGCAGGUGGAAGUGGUGCUUCAGCUAAUUUGUGAUCUAUAGGUAGGGAAGAGGGCAGACGUCACACCUCCAUCAACAACAUUUGUUUAUGCUAUUACAAGAAAUACAAGUGGUGACGCAGUCAUAUUUGCUGCACUUUCUUUUCAAUGCGUGAAUGUUUUAAUCUCUGGUUCUCUCUUUCUGCAUCUCACCUUCAAUUUGUGGGUUAAAUUGCGUCCUGAGGAGGGUCACGUUGAUGAAAAGAAUCUAAAUGUCAUGGGAGGGAUCCAGGGAAAGAACUAGAAUGAGAGCGAGAGAGAGAGAAAGAGAGAAAUUGUUUACCUUGCUCUCUUGGUGACUGUGCACUGGCAGGCAUCCAGUUCACAUGCGCUAGACUUCCUAACACAGCCGCAUCAGAGAGAUGAGUGACAGAGCUCUGCUCCUAUCAGGUGCCAGUUAGUGCUUCCGACUUUUUCGCAGCUCCAGAACCCAUUGGAUUAACCCUGGAAAGCAGCUGGAGGGAAUAAUCUGAUUGGCUGCAAGGUAAUGUUAUCAUUUGUGAGUACUCAAACAACCAGUUGUUAUUCAUUGUUACGUUAGAGUGUUGUUAUUUUAGAGAGCUGUUACUUGGUAGAACCUCACUAUGGAAAAAUGUGCAAAAGUGUGUUAUUUAAAGGAAUAGUCCACCUAAUAAAUCUGUGAACCUGUGUGAGUUUUUUUCUUUUUUGUGGAACACAAAAGGAGAUAUUUUGAAGAAUGUCUAUGUUGUUUGUCCAUACAAUGAAAGUCAAUGGGGUCCAAUGUUGUUUGGACCCCAGCCUUCAUCAAAAUAUCUUUGUAAUGACGUAAGGGCGAGUAAAUGAUUUUAAUGCAGUUUAAAGGAAUAGUCACCCUCAUGUCUUUUUUUAAACCCCGUAUGACUUUCUUUUUUUUCUCUGGAACACAAAAGAAGAUAUUUUGAUGAAUGUUGGUAAUCAAACAGUUUUGGUUCCCAUUCACUUCCAUUGUAAAAGCUACCGAAACUAUUUGGUUACCAACAUUCUUCAAAAUAUCUUCUUUUGUGUUCCACAGAAGAAGAAAUUCAUACAGGUUUGGAACAUGUAGGUGAAUAAAUAAUGACAGAAUUUUCAUUUUAGGGUGGACUAUCCCUCGUAAAAAGUAAAAUGGGUUGCUUUUGCUUUUUUAUUUAAGCAGUAGUUAAGAUUAAUUAUCAUACAAAUUGUAACCCAAGUGUUCAGUACAUUAUCAUGUACACAAUAUAUGGUAGAGUUAAGCACAUGCUGUUUCGUUAUCGAAUGAUUAUAAUUGACUUUCUUUUUAAUCCCUCCUCAUUUGCCUUCUUUCUUUGCUAGUUGACCACUGAGCUUCUUGUUUAGACAGGCAGUAUCAAAACAGCGUUUCGCCAUGGCAAGUUUAUCUAUGUGUAUGCGAUUUGUCCUAUUAGGGAGACAGUCCUGUCCUAAAACCUGUUGCGUGUCAAGCGGCGCUGUCCCCAGGUUACGUCCGAGUGUGUGUGUCUCUGUGUGUGUGUGAGGCAGAGGCCUGCACUGCAGCUGUUAAUGCUGCAUUAGACGCCACAGACCGGAGUUCUGGCAAACGUUGGUGGCACCAGAGGGCCAGAGGGGAUUGCAUCUUCGUCUACCUCAUCCUCCCUGUCACGUGGGAGGGGCGUUUUUACGGAUAAAUCUCGCCACAUGACGGAGUUAACCCAUGGCCGUCUGGGCUGAGUAUCGGGCUGUGACGCAGAUUGUAACUUGUGCUGUUUUCCCCUGAUGUUCAGCCUGGUAUUGUUGCACCCUGUGAUAUCUGUGUCAGUGUAGACUAUUUCUUCUAAAAACUCAUCGUUACUUUUAUAUAUAUAUAUAUAUAUAUAUAUAUAUAUAUAUAUAUCAUACUUUUUUUUUUGUCAUAUUGUGAUGGAAAACAAGCAUGUUUUCAAGUGAAUGCAUAUAAGAAACUGAUCAGUAAAGUGUAAUUCAGCUUUAAUUUUUUUUUAAAGCUGUUCUUGUCUUGAUCCAAUAGUUUACUUUUAAAUUACAUAUUGAAAGUAUACCUGCAUUUUUUUUUAUCUUUAUAGGCAAUGUAUAGAAUUGUGGACCUCAAAAAGUAUUUGGACAUUUUUAGAUGUAUAAAAAUAUAUAUAUAUAGCAAGUAUGAAUUUACUUGCAUUAAAGGAUUAGUUCACUUUAAAAUGAAAAUUAUCCCAUGAUUUACUCACCCCCAAGCCAUAGGUUUAUAUGACUUUCUUAUUUCAGACGAAUAUAAUCAGUUAUAUUAAUAAUCACCCUGAUGCUCCCAAGCUUUAUAAUGGCAGUGCAUGGAAACCACCUGUUUGAAGCUCAAAAAAGUGCAUCUAUCCAUCAUAAACAUACUCCACACGGCCUUCUGAAGCGAAGCGAUGUGUUUGUGUAAGAAAAAUAGCUAUAUUUAACACGUUAUAAAGUAAAAUAACUAGCUUCUGCCAGACUGCCUUCCAUAUUCAACUUACGAAGAUCAUUUUAAAUGUAAUAGAUAGAUAGAAAUUUUAAAAUUCUCUUUUUUUCAUUAUUUAUUCAUUUGUUUACUCAUUCAUUUCUUUUUUCAUUUAUCAGAAAAACAAAGCUGCCCCCCCCCCCCCCCCCCCACCCCCCGAGUCUUUUAUAAAUAUUGCACAACAGUUCGAAGGCAAACAAACAGGCAGAAGAAAGUGAGAGGGGCAAUCAGAUACCUCUAAACAGCAACUGUCGCCAUGCUCUUCUCUCGGCCGGGAAACUCCCACGAGUUCUGUCCUAUCAGUCAGAUAAGGGUUACCGAGCUCCUGGGGCGUGUUUCAGCUCUGCCAUACGGCUUAAAGCAAACAGGGACUGCAGGCUUUGAGCAAACUAAAGAAGGCAGAAAAAAUAUUUUGACAUCCAUGAAUUGCUUUACUGAAUCUCUCUUCAUCAGUCUAUAGGAAUGGACACUUAAAAAGAAUUAGAACUUAAAACAAGAUUUAGGAGAAAGUUAUAAUAAUGUUGAGGGAUAUAUCGGAUGAGUGGGAUGUUUAUCUGCCAAAGGGUUUGGCUCUGAGGACGCAGAUACAUAAAGAACAAAAAACCUUGGCAAAGCGUCAGUAUACAGGGCAGUACCUGCCGCCACACCCUCGCUGAGUGCUGGCUUCAGGAAUCUCCCUUCCAGAUUGCUCCAUUUCCUGCGCUCACUUCAUUUUGAAGAGACUGCGGUGGUGACGGCUGCGUAACACAGAGUAAAAGCCUAAAUGAACAUCUCCUUUAUAGAGAAGCCCGAUCCUCUAUGCCACGGGUCUAGCGCUGCCUCACAUUCCCAGCCUGUGUGCUUGUGCCAUUGAGUGACAGAUGAAACUACUCUAAGCAUAGAAGGCGUUCUCUAGAGCCGUGGUGCUCAACUGGUUUUGCAUCAGGACCUAAAGUUUACAAGCUAACACAGUUCACAUUGUUCAUGUAAAAGUUUGAGAUUAAACAUUAAAUCUUUUUUGUAUUGUUGGAUCUAUGCAGUUCAUGAAAAUAUAGGUAACACUUCACAAUAAGGUUUCAUUUGUUAACAUUAGUUAACUGCAUUAGUUAACAUUAACUAAUAGUGAGCAAAAGGGAUGCACCGAAAUUUCGGCUACUUUUGGCUGAAACAGCUGUUUUCCGUUUCGGGAUGAAACAGCUAUUUUCCGUUUAGAGCAGAAAUGGUUUUGGAGGGCAGAAAUCAGUGACCGAAACAGAUUUUUAAUUAGCAUGGCAAGUUUUGACUGUGUUCAGUGUCUGUUUUGUGCACACAACAUGAAUAAGUUACAACAGUUAAACAUAUCAGCUGUGUGGACACUAGUUCUGGAUUAACAAUAUUAAUUUCUCGAUUUUAAUUUGUAAUGAUAUAGUUUCUUAAAUCUAAAAUCUUUUAGUCUGAGCUGUUUACUGUUGAUGCAUGAACAAAACGUCACUAAACAUUUGUAGCCUGCCAUCUAAUAAUCAUCUUUGCCAUCUUUGUGCUUUGUUACUUUUAAUAUGAAGCAAAGUCUCAAAUUUGAAAUACUUUCGAUUUUAUUUAUGAAAUUCAAACAAUAAAUUACAUUUUGCCAUGUUUUAAUAUGGUGUGACAGAUCACUUUAGCUGCGGCAGCACGGAUCAAGUGUACAUGAAGAGAUCAUCUCAUCUCCUCUUUACUACUAGUUACAGCACAAAAUAAACAUGGGUGAACACCAGAAGGUACGUUACAGCUAACCGAACCUUAGGGAAAUGAAUCCUGUCUCAUGUAAUCACUCGAUUAGUGUUAUACAAGAUCACUUAAAGUUACAUUUACCUCAAGAAAGCUAUUCAAUAUCCAUAAACUCAUUAGUUAGCUAGAAAAACUCUAAAUAUAUGCACUGCAUUAUGAAUUCAUUAUAUUUUUACUUAAACUGUUAGUGAUGACUUCAUUAUUUAAUGUAUCUGUCAUGAAAACAUGUUUACAGUUAAUUGUCAUUUAAAUGUUUCUAUUUCUCCAACAAACUGGAGUAGAAACAAUUCUGUUAUUAAAAAGUUGAUAUAAAAACUGCCUUAUGUGCAAUUUAAAUGUUUGUACAAACGCAGUUUUAGCUAUUUGAGUCAGAUUAUUAAAUAAGUUUGAUUAAUUAAUUGAUUUAUUAAUUUUUUUUGGUUUCAGUUUUUGGCCCAGAAUUUUCAUUUUGGUGCAUCCCUAAACAAUACUUCUUUAUUAAUCUUAGUAAAUGUUAAUUUUUAGUAAUGUUAACAUUUACUAAUACUGUCAACAUUAGUUAAUGCACUGUGAACUACAUUAAUAUUUUUGAUUUUAAUAAUGUAUUAGUAAAUGUUGAAAUUAACAUUAACAAGUAAGCAAUAAGGUACGAGAGGCUGUGCCGUAUCGUGAUUAAGUCACGGCUGAAGGGCGUUGUUCGAAGCGGAGUGCCUGCAAACCCUUAAGCUGUGACUUAUUCACAAUACAGCACUAGCCUCGAGUACCUUAUUGCUUUUAUAAAACGGUUUCCACACAAUACAAAUAUUAAAGCCAAAAACAUGUAUCAAUGCAACUUGCAUGAAAUAAACUUUCACUAAAAGCCUUCCAUCUGCCGAAAAAAAUAGUCCCUGACUGUAAACAGCAACAGAAGUUACAUUAUUACACCAUUAGAUGGUGGCAAAGACUGUCUUUAUGAGUGUGUCAGUCAGCAGCGAAGACUUUCACAUUGAAAAGACUGAAUUGUUGUGAACACGGAACAAGACGCAACUGACAAAUGCUUUGACUAGCGCUGUCAGUCACGGGAAAACCCCUUAACUGUUAAAAGGACAAGAUAAUACAUCGGACAUUUAAACAGAUGUUUUAUUAUGAACAUAGGACUGACCUGAAGGAAAUGCUAAAUCUGAAUGCAGGUAAUAAACUCGCUCACUCGAUCUGUUUCUCACAAUACUUUUCUACAUAAUACAGCAAGCUUCAAUGAACAAUAUCAACUGAGAACAAACAGUUUACAUUGCUAAGAGUGGUUGCUAAGGGUGUUGUGUAGUGACACACAGAACCGUUGGGUGAAGCGGUCAUAGCCGUGUUUUAUUGUGAAUAAAACACAGCUAUUGACCAAUCAGAAUUAAGGACAGGAACUAACCGUUUUAUAAAAAUUAAUAAGUACUGUUGAAGUAGUUCAUUAUUAGUUCAUGUUAACUAAUGUAGUUAACUAAUGAAACCUUAUUGUAAAGUGUUACCAAAAUAUUAGUAAAUUUAUAAAUAAAUGCAUUACUAUUAUACUGGUAUACUAUAAUUAUUAUAUGUAUAACAAUUAUUAUAUAUAUAUAUAUAUAAUAUUUUAUUAUUUGCAUUUAGCUUUGUUUUUUCCUCGCUGCCUUCGAACCACUGUACUACAGCAUUGAGAGGGAGCUGUUAGUAAAUGUCUGAUAUCAGUAUUCAAGUCAGUAUUCUCAUUUGCUGAGAGAAGUUACAGAUUACCUCGAGAAAUACAAUAGGUUUCAGUUUAUAAAAGUGGCUGUAGCUAUGGAGACGGAGGCGGGGAUUGAUCUCUUAUGGGUAUGAAGCUAUACUGUACAUACUUUCUGUAUGCUUGCAAUUUUCCACUUAAAGCCCACAAACACCAGGCUGUUCACAGUUCUUCAUCCAUGCCAAAUUUGCUUAGUCAGAUUGCAAAUCAGCAUUGUCUCGUGUAUAAUUAUUCACUGGCAUUAUGCCACUGCAUUUGCUUGUUAUGAGUGCCGUAUCCAGCACUUAUGAAACCACAUUAUCUUUUAUCCUAAGAUCGAUAUUUCUUCAAAUUAUAUUUCUUAGCAGUACGUAACAUUUCCUUCUGUGCAUUUAAUAUUUAAAGCGAGUGACCAAGUGGAAGAAGAUUAAAGUAGCCCUCUGUGCUCUUCCUGAUUGUCUUUAUAGUAGGCUCUUCAGAGCAGUUCUGCAAACUAAUAAUCUUGAUUAUCCCCCGUGAAAGGAGUCUAACAGUGUUGGGUUUCCUGCCAGAACUGGUGUGGGUUUUCUUGUCUUGUUUUGUUUUCUCUGUGGUUUGGGGUGUGAAUCUGUCAUCGAGAAGUGAGUUUUGAGUUUCUACUCUUUAAUAAAAUUUCAGAGAAGAGAGUAAAUGGAGGUUUGGCUGGUUAGCUUUGGCAGUUAACUCCUGCUAGUAGAUGCUGUACACCAUUGCUUUAACAGUAGCUGUGUAUUAUGUCAGAAUAUUUUGUAAGCAAAUUGGAAAUAUUUAAAUAUAUUAUUGUAGAUGUUUAACCAAUGCUUAUUUUAAUGUAAUAAAUAUAAAGUUCUGUCAUGUAACUCUAGAUGGUGCAGGCUGAUAGGUCCUUAACUCAAUCUGCUUGCAAUCACGUGAUUCUCUAUAGAGCACAGCUGAUUGUUUCCUGCUGUAUCAGUAGCCAAUGAGCUUGCUUUUUUUGUUAUAAAUAUUAUAACAGUUAUAAUUAAUUAUUAAAUUAAUUAUUAAUAAAUUGUUUUAUUGCUCUUAUUGUUUUAUUUUAUUUUUUUGCAAGUGAACCCAUAGUCUUGCAUGGUUUUGUUUAUGGUUUGACAUCUACCUAAAUAUUAUUACAUUUUA